rnacentral:lncRNA from 1 species
CAUGUCAAUUUAUUUUGUAUAUUUUUGAAUAUGCAUAUGUGAUAUAGAUAUUUGUCUUUUAAAAAUAAAAGAUACAUAUGGAAGAGUUAAAAAAAUAAAAUAAAAAACUGAAAAAAGUGAAAAAGGGGAAAAAAAGGAAAGACAAAUAGAAGUUAGAAAUAGAAGUGUAAAAAUAAAAGUAAAAAAAAUGAAAAAAGAAAAAAAGAAGAAAAUGAAAAUAGGAAAAGAAAAAAAA